CAGUCGCCACGGGAAUACGUAGGGCGCAAGCGUUGUCCGGAAUUAUUGGGCGUAAAGAGCUCGUAGGCGGUCUGUCGCGUCUGGUGUGAAAUCCCGAGGCUCAACCUCGGGCUUGCAUCGGGUACGGGCAGACUAGAGUGCGGUAGGGGAGACUGGAAUUCCUGGUGUAGCGGUGGAAUGCGCAGAUAUCAGGAGGAACACCGAUGGCGAAGGCAGGUCUCUGGGCCGCAACUGACGCUGAGGAGCGAAAGCAUGGGGAGCGAACAGGAUUAGAUACCCCUGUAGUCCCUGUCUCUUAUAC
rnacentral:rRNA from 1 species